rnacentral:rRNA from 1 species
CGAGUGCCAGCAUYAUAUGCUGGCUGUCCAGGUGUGUAAAAUACACCUGUUAGCAAGGGCCGGGCAAGACCGGUGCCAGCCGCCGCGGUAACACCGGCGGCCCGAGUGGUGAUCGUGAUUAUUGGGUCUAAAGGGUCCGUAGCCGGUUUGGUCAGUCCUCCGGGAAAUCUGACGGCUUAACCGUUAGKCUUUCGGGGGAUACUGCCWKGCUUGGAACCGGGAGAGGUAAGAGGUACUACAGGGGUAGGAGUGAAAUCUUGUAAUCCCUGKGRGACCACCUGUGGCGAAGGCGUCYUACCAGAACGGGUUCGACGGUGAGGGACGAAAGCUGGGGGCACGAACCGGAUUAKAUACCCGGGUAGUCCCAGCCGUAAACGAUGCUCGCUAGGUGUCASGCAUGGCGCGACCKUGUCUGGUGCCGCAGGGAAGCCGUGAAGCGAGCCACCUGGGAAGUACGGCCGCAAGGUUGAAACUUAA